rnacentral:rRNA from 2 species
GGUAUUGAUUGGUGCUUGCAUCAUGAUUUACAUUUGAGUGAGUGGCGAACUGGUGAGUAACACGUGGGAAACCUGCCCAGAAGCGGGGGAUAACACCUGGAAACAGAUGCUAAUACCGCAUAACAACUUGGACCGCAUGGUCCGAGUUUGAAAGAUGGCUUCGGCUAUCACUUUUGGAUGGUCCCGCGGCGUAUUAGCUAGAUGGUGGGGUAACGGCUCACCAUGGCAAUGAUACGUAGCCGACCUGAGAGGGUAAUCGGCCACAUUGGGACUGAGACACGGCCCAAACUCCUACGGGAGGCAGCAGUAGGGAAUCUUCCACAAUGGACGAAAGUCUGAUGGAGCAACGCCGCGUGAGUGAAGAAGGGUUUCGGCUCGUAAAACUCUGUUGUUAAAGAAGAACAUAUCUGAGAGUAACUGUUCAGGUAUUGACGGUAUUUAACCAGAAAGCCACGGCUAACUACGUGCCAGCAGCCGCGGUAAUACGUAGGUGGCAAGCGUUGUCCGGAUUUAUUGGGCGUAAAGCGAGCGCAGGCGGUUUUUUAAGUCUGAUGUGAAAGCCUUCGGCUCAACCGAAGAAGUGCAUCGGAAACUGGGAAACUUGAGUGCAGAAGAGGACAGUGGAACUCCAUGUGUAGCGGUGAAAUGCGUAGAUAUAUGGAAGAACACCAGUGGCGAAGGCGGCUGUCUGGUCUGUAACUGACGCUGAGGCUCGAAAGUAUGGGUAGCAAACAGGAUUAGAUACCCUGGUAGUCCAUACCGUAAACGAUGAAUGCUAAGUGUUGGAGGGUUUCCGCCCUUCAGUGCUGCAGCUAACGCAUUAAGCAUUCCGCCUGGGGAGUACGGCCGCAAGGCUGAAACUCAAAGGAAUUGACGGGGGCCCGCACAAGCGGUGGAGCAUGUGGUUUAAUUCGAAGCUACGCGAAGAACCUUACCAGGUCUUGACAUACUAUGCAAAUCUAAGAGAUUAGACGUUCCCUUCGGGGACAUGGAUACAGGUGGUGCAUGGUUGUCGUCAGCUCGUGUCGUGAGAUGUUGGGUUAAGUCCCGCAACGAGCGCAACCCUUAUUAUCAGUUGCCAGCAUUAAGUUGGGCACUCUGGUGAGACUGCCGGUGACAAACCGGAGGAAGGUGGGGAUGACGUCAAAUCAUCAUGCCCCUUAUGACCUGGGCUACACACGUGCUACAAUGGAUGGUACAACGAGUUGCGAACUCGCGAGAGUAAGCUAAUCUCUUAAAGCCAUUCUCAGUUCGGAUUGUAGGCUGCAACUCGCCUACAUGAAGUCGGAAUCGCUAGUAAUCGCGGAUCAGCAUGCCGCGGUGAAUACGUUCCCGGGCCUUGUACACACCGCCCGUCACACCAUGAGAGUUUGUAACACCCAAAGU